rnacentral:tRNA from 1 species
GGUGGCCGUAGCUCAAUGGCAGAGCACUGGAUUGUGGCUCCAGCGGUUGGGGGUUCAAAUCCCCUCGGUCACCCCC